GCGGUGGAGGUCUCGUUACCUUUCCAGAUGCCCAGAGAGAGCUGGGACGAGUCCAAGUUCCCCACAUAGUCCCCCAAGAUCCGGUUCAACACGUCCACGACCACCGACUCGAACACCAUUUUCUUCAGCCACGAAGGAUGUGGGGAGGGGGUGUGCGGCGUUCCACGCCCUGCCCUGCGUCCGUGUUUUUGGUCAAGUCAUCCACCCGCAGCUGCCCUUCGGUCCAGUUUGGCACAGUUCCCGUCAGCCUCUUGUACCCACAGGAAUACUGCGCUCACUCCUGGGCCUUCACGCUGACUGACUGACCUUAAGUAAAUACAAAUUAAAGUUAAAGCUCUUUCUGCCCCACCCGUUAGUCCUAAAGGCCUGAAGUCACUGCGACUUGAAGAUGUGAAAUUUAGAGACUUAUUGUUAAUCUUCCUUUCAAAGACUUAAGAUAAAAGGCGUGUAUUUGGAA